rnacentral:rRNA from 1 species
GCGUUAUCCGGAUUUAUUGGGUUUAAAGGGAGCGUAGGCGGACGCUUAAGUCAGUUGUGAAAGUUUGCGGCUCAACCGUAAAAUUGCAGUUGAUACUGGGUGUCUUGAGUACAGUAGAGGCAGGCGGAAUUCGUGGUGUAGCGGUGAAAUGCUUAGAUAUCACGAAGAACUCCGAUUGCGAAGGCAGCCUGCUGGACUGUAACUGACGCUGAUGCUCGAAAGUGUGGGUAUCAAACAGGAUUAGAUACCCUGGUAGUCCACACAGUAAACGAUGCAUACUCGCUGUUUGCGAUAUACAGUAAGCGGCCAAGCGAAAGCGUUAAGUAUUCCACCUGGGGAGUACGCCGGCAACGGUGAAACUCAAAGGAAUUGACGGGGGCCCGCACAAGCGGAGGAACAUGUGGUUUAAUUCGAUGAUACGCGAGGAACCUUACCCGGGCUCAAACGGGAGAUGACGGCAGGAGAAAUCCUGCUUUCUUCGGACAUCUUCCGAGGUGCUGCAUGGUUGUCGUCAGCUCGUGCCGUGAGGUGUCGGCUUAAGUGCCAUAACGAGCGCAACCCCUGCGGACAGUUGCCAUCAGGUCGAGCUGGGCACUCUGUCCGGACUGCCGGCGCAAGCCGCGAGGAAGGCGGGGAUGACGUCAAAUCAGCACGGCCCUUACGUCCGGGGCGACACACGUGUUACAAUGGGCGGCACAGCGGGAAGCCAGGCGGCGACGCCGAGCGGAACCCGAAAGCCGUUCUCAGUUCGGAUCGGAGUCUGCAACCCGACUCCGUGAAGCUGGAUUCGCUAGUAAUCGCGCAUCAGCCAUGGCGCGGUGAAUACGUUCCCGGGCCUUGUACACACCGCCCGUCAAGCCAUGGGAGCCGGGGGCGCUUGAAGUGCGUUGCCGCGAGGCGCGCCCUAGAGCAA